UGGAUAGCUCAGUCAGUAAAGCGUGGGACUCUUAAUCUCAGAGUCAUGGGUUUGAGCCCCACAUUGGGCAAAA